rnacentral:rRNA from 1 species
UACGUAGGGGGCGAGCGUUGUCCGGAGUUACUGGGCGUAAAGCGCUUGUAGGCGGUCCACCAAGUUUGGGGUGACAGUUGCCGACUUAAUCGGCAAAGUGCCUCAAAGACUGGCGGACUUGAGGGCCACAGAGGGACAUGGAACUCCAGGUGUAGUGGUGAAAUGCGUAGAUAUCUGGAAGAACACCAAAGGCGAAGGCAGUGUCCUGGGUGGUCGCUGACGCUGAUGCUCGAAAGCUAGGGGAGCAAACAGG